AAAAUAAGUUAAUUUUAAUAUUAAAAAAAUUGUGUGUAUAGUUACAAAGUUUGGAGAAAAAUGGAGAAAUCUGUAUCUAAAACUCUCUCUAUUUCUCAACAUGAACAGAACAAUAACCAAUUGAUUGAUUUAAUAUUACUUGAUGAAGUAACAAAUAUACAAUAUGUUUUAAAAGUGGAAAAAAAAGUAUAUAAUCGUGCUCAUAAUGACAUAAUGUUUGCUACUACAUUAUUAAAGAAAGCACAAACGUUACAUAAUUCUAAAGAUACAAUACAUAGUUCUGCUUCAUCAAUAAAGAAUAGUAAAUCCAGUUGUUCAAAUGUAACAAGUACUAUAGUUCCUGACAAUACUGAUAAUACUGAAAAUAUAGUUCACAACGAUACUUCUUCUAGCACUGAAAACAUUUCAGAUACGCUAAAUACUGAAGUAAAUAUAGAAAAAUGGGAACAUAAAGCUGUACUUCUUUUAAUAUCUUUAUAUAAAGAAAAAUCAUAUAUGCUGGGAAAAGGUUCUCAUAAAAAAAUGUGGAUAGACAUUUCCAAGUGUAUGAAGGAAAAAAAAUAUAAUUUUACAGGCAACCAAUGCAAUAAUAAAAUGGAUGCAUUGAAGAGACGAUAUCGUCAAAUUGUUGACCAUAAUGCUCAAAGUGGAAACGAUAGAAAAGAUUGGAUAUAUUUAGAUGUAUUAGAUAAUAUUUUUCGAAAAAACAUUGGAUAAAACCAUUAUCUGUAGCAGGAUCAAAUAUUAAAGAACCUGAACAUUCUCCAUUAACUGACAACAGUGAUGAGAAUGAAACACCAGUUAAGCAAAGAAAAAUCUCAUUAACUGAAGCAAGAGCAAAUUAUUUGACACUUUCAUUAGAAGAAAAAGACUAAAAAGAAAAGAAACUGCCAAUUAUAGAGCUACAAAGUUACAAAUAUUAAGAGAAA